rnacentral:tRNA from 7 species
UCCGGAUUAGCUCAGCGGUAGAGCAGUGGACUGUUAAUCCAUUGGUCGCAGGUUCGAAUCCUGCAUCCGGAG